UGGAUGGAAUCGUGUAAGCAUAUGCAAAUUGCUUUUGUAGCAAAGUAGCAUAGGCUGUUCUCUGUCAUAAAUUGCCAAACUUUGUGUCACAUGACCCUGAGAAUUGACCAUGGUUCAACUGAUCAGGAAUUUGUAACUUCGCGAAGGCAAUUAUCUCUAGCUUUACCAAUGGGAUUUCCAGAGGCCUAAUGCAAGAAUUCCUCCCUGUGGGGGAGGUGACUCACUGAUCCAACCAAGGAUGUCUUACAAGCCUUUACCAGUGUGAGAAGCUCAAAAAGCUAUGGGACCAGAGUAGAAUUAGAAAAAAAGAAAAGAGGAGGUUGCUGCUGAAAUGGAGAGGCAGAAACAGAGAGAAAGAGAGUAGUUGAUUGUAAACAUGACACUGUCAUAGGAUUAAGGGGCCAAUGGUCCUUCUUCUCUGGGGAAGCUACGGUUACUUCCUGGUGACGCUCCAGGGUGCCAUGCAGCAGGCUGGGUAACUGCACAGAGUGAUGCCUUACUUCCUCAUUGCCUCACUAGCUGUCACAAUUGCUCACAUCACCUGAUAUCUUCUGAGCCUGACUCUGAUCCUUGCCACAGAAAGAGUCUAACUGAAGCGGUUGGAGAGGAGGGAGUGAAGAGGUGUGGCUGGAAGGAAUGGAUCAGCAAAAGCUUCACCAGGAUUUGGUGAGACCCAAGCGGAGUUCUGAAGUAUAGAGUCUUCCCUUGGGAAAGUGAAGCUUCCUAGAGUGAGGUGACCAGUGGCCUGUGGAAUGCUUUGCUUCUUGUGACUGUUAAUUCUGAUAUGUCAACUUCACCGGAAGAAAUGCCUAGCAGCUCCCCUGCUCUGCUUCUGGACAUUGUGAACUAAGCAGCUUUUCCAGCCUGCUGACUAUGGAUUGAAUCUCCUGAAACUAAUUCAGCAGUGAAGCCAUCAGGACCUGGGCUUUUCUUUGUUGAUAAAUUUUUUUAUUACAUUUUCAAUUUCAUUCAUUGUAAUUGGCAUGUUUAGAAUUUCUAUAUCUUCUUCAUUUAACUUUGGGAAUUCAUAUGUAUCUAGAAAUCUGUACAUUUCUUCUGUGUUUUCCAUUUUAUUAGAGUACAGGUUCUUGAAGUAGGUACUGAUGAUCCUCUGGAUUUCUGCUGGUUCUGUUGUGACUUCCCCUUUUUCGUUCUUAAUUGCAUGGAUUUGAGUCUUUUCUUUCCUUUUUUUGGAUAAGGUUGGCUGGGUUUAUCAAUUUUAUUUAUUCUUUCAAAAAACCAACUCUUUGAUUCAUUAAUUUUUUUAUUGUUCUCUUAGUCUCCAUUGCAUUGAUUUCUGCUCAGAUCUUUAUAAUUUCCUCUCUUGUGCAGGCUUUGGGUUUGUUAUUGUCUUCUUUUUCUAGGAGUUUGAGAUUCUGUAUUAGGUUAUUUAUCUGAGUUCUCUCUGUUUUCUUAAUAUGGGCAUUCAAUGCUAUGAAUUUCCCGCAUAGAACUGCUUUCAUUGUGUCCCAUAGAUUCGUAUAUGUUAUACUGGCAUUAUCAUUUACUUGUUGAAACUGUCUAAUUUCUUCUGUGACCCAUUGGUUGUUCAGGAGGGUGUUAUUCAAUUUGCAGGUGUCUGUGGGAGUUUUAGAGUUUCUCAUGUUAUUGAUCUCCAAUUUUAUUGCACUAUGGUCUGAUAAUAUACAGGGGGUAAUUUUAAUUCUUUUACAUUGACUUAGACAUGUCCUGUGAGCUUGCAUGUGGUCUAUUUUGGGGAAUGACCCAUGUACAGCUGAAAAGAAUGUGUAUUCUGAUAUUGUGGG
ensembl:lncRNA